UGAGGGCGCAGAUGGCUUUGCGAGCUGUCCGGCGGGCGGCGCCGCAUGCAAUGGGACACCACGCUCGCACUCUAUGUACAGGGCCUGUCGUCUCCGGGUCUGAAGGACACUUGCGCUCCGAUGACACCACUGCGGGAGCGGUGCCCAAGCCGCCACUAAGACAUGACCCCGAAGACGGGGUUGUGACGGCAGAUGCUCGGGCCGCACUCCUCGUAGUCCUUCUUGGUGUGACAGACCUGCAAGAACUCCGGCUGCGAGAGGAGCGUGUACACGCGCCGGCAGGGGAAUAGCAUCAGACAGAUGACCAAGCAGAGGAGACAAACCCCCACCCAAACCGCCACCCUCUCUCCUACCUCCGCUGCGGACUUUAGAACAGAGCUGGGCAGACAGCACAAUCCAGGAAAGGACUCACAGUCGAAGCCAGCAUGGAGCCUCCAAACCACACGGCGUAGCGCUGCAUGUGGUGCGUUAUCACCUGGACCUCCACGGGCUUGGGCUGCAAGGGAAGUGAUGCCAGCUGACUGUCCUGUGCAGAGGGCACCCGGGCGCCUUCCCACCGGGGGCCCGCCUCCCCGCCCCCCCGCAGGCCCCACCCCCUCCCUGAAAGGAAGGUGCUCAGCCCUCACACGGCCAAGUCCAACGACCCCCAGCCCAGGUGGUGCAGAGAGCAAAGAACACAAAGCAAGGGCAGCUUACCUCAAUUUAAAGGCGUUUUCAAGAAGUAAACACUCCAUGCAACUAACCUAGCUUAUUUUUUAAAACUAAGCAAAUUAGAUGUUUUCACAUCUAGAGAUAAUUCUAAGAAACACUUAAGAAAGAUAGUGCUAAGUGGUGUCCAACUCUUACGACGCCAUGGACUGUUGCCCGCCAAGCUCCUCUAUCCAUGGGAUUCCCCAGGCAAGAAUACUGGAGUGGGUUGCC
rnacentral:lncRNA from 1 species